rnacentral:piRNA from 1 species
UUGUCUCUGUAACUCCUUCCAUGGGUGU